GGACCGGUAGCUCAGUGGUAGAGCAACCGGCUGCAGUGCCUUCGCACCUGACAGUGUAUCGCGCCUUCCGGUAGGUCUCGUGUUCAACUCACGAUCGGUCCU